rnacentral:rRNA from 1 species
CCUACGGGAGACAGCAGUGAGGAAUAGUGGUCAAUGGGCGGAAGCCUGAACCAGCCAAGUAGCGUGCAGGAUGACGGCCCUACGGGUUGUAAACUGCUUUUAUACGGGAAUAACGCGCCUUACGUGUAGGGCUUUGCAUGUACCGUAUGAAUAAGGACCGGCUAAUGCCGUGCCAGCAGCCGCGGUAAUACGGAAGGUCCGGGCGUUCUCCGGAUUUAUUGGGGUUACAGGGAGCGUAGGCCGCAUGUCAAGCGUGCUGGGAAAUGUCCGGGCUCAACCCGGGCCUUGCAGCGCGAACUGGCGUGCUUUCGUCCGCUGCACGCAGGCGGACUUCGUCGUGUAGCGG